rnacentral:rRNA from 1 species
UACGAAGGGGGCUAGCGUUGCUCGGAAUCACUGGGCGUAAAGGGUGCGUAGGCGGGUUUUUAAGUCAGGGGUGAAAUCCUGGAGCUCAACUCCAGAACUGCCUUUGAUACUGAAGAUCUUGAGUCCGGGGAGAGGUGAGUGGAACUGCGAGUGUAGAGGUGAAAUUCGUAGAUAUUCGCAAGAACACCAGUGGCGAAGGCGGCUCACUGGCCCGGUACUGACGCUGAGGCACGAAAGCGUGGGGAGCAAACAGG